ACGGGAGGCAGCAGUGGGGAAUAUUGCACAAUGGGGGAAACCCUGAUGCAGCGACGCCGCGUGAGCGAAGAAGUAUUUCGGUAUGUAAAGCUCUAUCAGCAGGGAAGAAAAUGACGGUACCUGACUAAGAAGCCCCGGCUAACUACGUGCCAGCAGCCGCGGUAAUACGUGGGGGGCAAGCGUUAUCCGGAUUUACUGGGUGUAAAGGGAGCGUAGACGGUAUGGCAAGUCUGAUGUGAAAACCCGGGGCUCAACCCCGGGACUGCAUUGGAAACUGUCAAACUAGAGUGCAGGAGGGGUAAGUGGAAUUCCUAGUGUAGCGGUGAAAUGCGUAGAUAUUAGGAGGAACACCGGUGGCGAAGGCGGCUUACUGGACUGUAACUGACGUUGAGGCUCGAAAGCGUGGGGAGCAAACAGGAUUAGAUACCCUGGUA
rnacentral:rRNA from 1 species